GUAAGGAAUAUUGGUCAAUGGGGGCAACCCUGAACCAGCCAUGCCGCGUGAAGGAUGAAGGCGUUAUGCGUUGUAAACUUCUUUUGUAUGGGAAGAAUGACAGGGAUUCAUCCUUGGAGAGACGGUACCAUACGAAUAAGCACCGGCUAACUCCGUGCCAGCAGCCGCGGUAAUACGGAGGGUGCAAGCGUUAUCCGGAAUCACUGGGUUUAAAGGGUACGUAGGCGGUUAAUUAAGUCAGUAGUGAAAGACUGUCGCUCAACGACGGAUGUGCUAUUGAUACUGGUUAACUUGAAUCAGGUUAGAGUUGGCGGAAUGGGUCAUGUAGCGGUGAAAUGCAUAGAUAUUAUCAAGAACACCGAUUGCGAAGGCAGCUUACUAAGGAGUAACUGACGCUGAGGCACGAAAGCGUGGGGAUCAAACAGGAUUAGAUACCCUGGUAGUCC
rnacentral:rRNA from 1 species